GUACGCGGGAAGUGUAAAUAGCAGUGCAGUGAGUGUGACAGAAUGGAGGUCAGUGCGGCCGCGGUAUGGCAGUGCUCUGUGGCUGGUGUAUGUGAGCGGAACCCAGGACAGGACACGAUCAGCACCUUGUUGCUCUCCGGCUACUGGAAUUCUUUUCAUUCUGGCCUCAUCGCAUCCACCAUAGAAGCCUACAGUGUGUGGUCUGCGGCUAUUGACGUUAGUGGAAGCAUCACGGUCGAUAUCUGUUGCAGUCCCUCAGGUAUACCCUGGAAAGACAUGAUGCUUCUAAAUAUUUCCAUGUAACUAGUACACUACCUGCUGUACGGUGUAUUGUGUCCUGUCUGACACCCAGCACAUUAUAUGGGAAGAUGCGAUGAAUGUGUGUAAACCAGAUUGUGUUUGCACACUACACAAUGGGGGUGCAGUUACAAUCCCGACAAGAUACCGGCUGCAGAAUCCCGAAAGGUGACAGGACACUGGAGGCCACACACUACUGAGCCUCAUUUUUACUUGUUUUAAGGACAUUACAUCAAAGUUGGAUCAGCCUGUAGUGUGUUUUUCCACUUUAAUUUUGAGUGUGACUCCAAAUCCAGACCUCCAUGGGUUAAUAAACUUGAUUUCCAUUGAUAA